rnacentral:lncRNA from 1 species
UUUUUUUUAAAGGUCCACACCUAUGGCAUGUGGAAGUUCCCAGGCUAGGGGUCUAAUCAGAGCUACAGAUGCCAGCCAACACCACAGCCACAGCAAUGCCAGAUCUGAGUCGCAAUGGCGACCUAUACCACAGCUCACAGCAACGCCGGAUCCUUAACCCACUGAGCAAGGCCAGGGAUCGAACCCGAAACUUCAUGGUUCCUAGUUGGAUUCGUUUCCGCUGUACCACGACAGGAACUCCAAGAAUAUAUUUUAAAUGUUAAAGAUACAUUUUAACUAUUAAGAAUAUGUUCAUUGUUAAAGAUAUAUAUUAAUUUGAUUUUACAAUGUGUUUUGAAGACUUGGCUCUAGGUAAACUGGGAACUUGUGGAGACAUCCUCAGAUGGAUAAGGUCUCUCUCCGUGAAGGAGAAUGCUUUUCAUGUGAUGAAUGAACUUGUAACAACAUAGGAAGGCAAUGGACUUGACCCACAGUGGAAAGGAUGCUCUCGUGAGGGCAGUUAAGGGACAUGGGGGCCAUGGCUCCUGUUGUCCCGGUACCAUGGUGAACACUCUUUGCUUUUUCAGAGUAAACCAUUACCGACUAAUCACACUUGAACUUAUUGAAACCCAUUUUGCAUGAAUUUAACAUUCUCCCUCUAAAAGAAGUAAGGGUAAUUUGAUCUAUAAUUCAGAAGCAAGCCCGCCCUCCCCCACCCCAAAUGCAGCAGCAGGCUGCCCUGAACCAUCACACCGCCCAUGGCUGCGAUGGAAUUGUCUCUGGCUCAACUCCUGCCGAGGCGCUGCGUCCUCCCACCUCCCGCACUGCCUAGGACUCCUUUGGCGAGGACUGGAUGAUAUUUCCGUGUAGAGCAGUGCCAGGUGUGGAGGGCCAGGCCUAUCGCUCCUUGGACCUUGGACCUUAAGUGGUUUACCAGGCUUCCUCCUUACCUUUCUAUUGGCCACAGACUCUCCGCUGAAACAGAGACAUCCUGCACUGAAUGAGUGUGGACAUCUCAGAGCCAAGAGAUGGAGGAUGGGGAAUAGAACAGACGCAAAGAGAAGCCCUUCCAGUUUCCAGAGAGCAUGGCAGGGCCGUUUACCGCAGAACCUCGUCAGUGGUUGAAGUUGAUCAGAAUCUAUCCAAUAUCAGCCUAACAAAUGAGUGAAUGACCCCAGAUUUGAGGAGAAACCAUCUGAUAUGAUUUCCCCUUUCCUAGUAGGAAUGUGAGAGUCUAACACCUGGCUCCCUGGGACUGUCUAAGAACCGGUGCUCUGGAUAUCAGGAGGGUGCAGUUUUCUGGCCUCAGUUCCAUGAAGUUUCAGUGGUCUUGAAGGUCAAGACCAUUGCCAUGAAGAUGUGAUUACCUAAGAGUGUCUCAAGUGGCCUGUUCAGCACCAAGUAUUUAGCUGAGGAGAAGGGCCUGCCAUGUUUCCAUCACAGAGGUGAAGAAAGUGGUCAUGACUUGGCUUUUUUGGGCCACAAUUUUCCAUUCUGGGUUCUGUGAAUCUAGCACACAGCUCUGGCCUGUGCUACUCCGACUUCCCUCUUCUUCUCGGCCCUCCCUAAAGCUUGUCUGAAGAAGGCUGAGGAGCCAUUUCCUGACCUCCACCCCCCCAAACCCUAAUACUUCUCAUUACCAUUCCAUCAAGCAGUAGCCAAGAUCAGAGUUCACAGGACAGGAAGGCCUAUAAGGAAGCUUCAGCUGGUGGCCACCUGUACCUUGCCACUGUAGGUCAGGUGUCUGGGCAUAACUUUCCACUAGAUUGAAUCUGUUCCUUUAUAAAUCUAACUCCAAAAGCAUCCCUAGAAAAAUUACCCUAAUGCAAGUAAGAAUAACCCAGGACCCUUGAUCCUUAUCUAGGGUUGGGGUUUUCCAAAAGUGUUUCCUUUGUGUGGUGGUACCACUAUGCAGCUUGGAUCCAGUGUUGCUGUGGUUGUGGUCUGCAGCUCCAAUUCGACUCCUAGCCCUUGAACUUCCAUAUUCCACGGGUGCUGCCAUAAAAAGAAAAAAGAAAAAGGAAAAAAUUAAAAUUAAAAAAAUAAUAAUGCUCAAGGGGUAAUGGCUCAUUUACCUUGUUAAUGACUUGCAAUGGCAAUAAUUAUCACUCAUGGAGUACCUAUGGCUUUGCUCUCUCAUAUCAUCCUACAGAAGUAAGAUAAGGUAGUGUCCGGAGUAUGGGGUCUGGAGCUUGACUACCUGGAUUCAAAUCCCUGCUCAGUCAUCUCUUGGCUGUGUGACUCAAGGUAAGUUACUCAGCCUCUCUGUGCCUCAAUGUCUUCAUCUGGUGGAUGGAGCUCACAGACUCUAGUCUGUCAUAGGGUAGCUGUGACGAUUAGACGAGUCGAUGCAUGUAGAGAGCUUCUAACAGUGCUUGACCUUGAGCAGCCAUUCAGUACAUUAUACAUUAGCAAGGUGGGAUAAGGAAAUGGGGGUUUGGGAAGGUGAAUGGCUGACUCCAAAGCACUUAUGUUGGGAUCCACAGUGGAAACUCUUCUAAUCUUUUAUCAACAACCAGAUGAGAAGAUACAUCGCUUCUGCUUCUAAGAGUCGGUGAUCCUCAUCCUUCUCUCUGCACCUGCCCUUGCCGUGUCCUUGGUCAGCACAGAGGAAGGACAACAGCACAUCUCCCUCACAUCGGAAGUGGCUCCACAAGUUGGCCUUCACUGCCAUCAACCCUAACAGAUGUGGUGCUCUAUCUCCACAGUCCUCCAGAGAGCCCUCAAGUCCCUCAGGGUGUCUUUACUCCAAGAAGGGGUUCUAGACUAGACAAGCAGAGGUGUUGCAGAAAGGAAGAUACUGCAAAGGAUUCAGGCAGCAAAGGGUGUGCUCCCCACACUGGGGAAGACAUCUGGGCAGAAGGGCCUGGGCUGGACCUCACAUCCAUCCCUCUUCCCUUGGGGUCCUUGACCACCCUUGAGAAUGGCACCUACAUGCUCUAAUUCUCCAUAAAAUCCAGAGGCAAAAUGUCCCUGCUGUAAAGACCUUGAACCCUUUUUGGGAAGGUUUUAUGAACUUAAUAUCGUGGGUUGCUCUAACCCCAGCCUUUGUCCUGACAGCAUCUGCUCAGGGAGUUUGAGAUUCAGCCAGUCUGUAAAGAGCUUCAGAUCCAGGGCUUUGAGGUGGGGAGAAGUGGUCACCUUGGAGAAAGCAGGACACUGUGGCCAGCUGGGGCAUUCUUUGCUAUAGAUUCCAAGAGACAAACUUGCUGAUCCCAGGUCAAGUCUGCCCCUGCUUCCCUGCAUCUAGAACCAUCUCUGGCUCCACCUCCCAUUAACACCCCAGAACAGAUUCCCUACCCACCUCCUCAAGAAGAACAUUGCCUCCGGGGAUUUUCUAAGAGUUUUUAGGAUAAGCAGCAGUUAGAAGCUAACAAUAAGUAAAAUUUCCAGAAAUCAAGAGAAACUUGCAAUGUUCCUUGACACUUUAAAUGAUGCACUUGAAACAAGAGGCUUGCAUUAGGAUCUAAAUUAGAGUUCUUGAGUGGCUUUUUGUAUUUUUUCUUUCACGUUAACCUGACUACAACUUUAUCUCCUCCAUUCACUUCCAAGAAGUCCUUAUAUAAUAAAGAGUUGAAGGCUGAAGCCCUUGCUUCCUCAAUAGGGGGCAGGCUCACCAGCUCCAUCUUGUCAGUUACCUCUUAAUGGUUGGUAGGAUGAGGGAAGCUUUCUCAAAAGACAGUUAAAAUAGUGCUUUAAGAAAUCCUCCGCCAAUAAAAAGUUGCUUCCAGAGUUAUAAAGUCAGUUUUCUUAACCUCUCAAUCUCAACUCAACUCAAAUUACAAAGUUUACAUGCCUUUGGGGAUGGCUGUAUUAAGUAAAUAGAGAGGAAUGGUCACAUUCAGUGUAAGCUAAAACACCCAAGGCUGGCAGUAGGAAAAGGAGCUACCUACCUAUCAGGUCUUUCAUAAAGCCAGUCCCUUAAAUAGAAAGAAUAAAGUUCUCUCAAGACUUACCCUAUGGACUGCCUUUCACAGCUGGUUCAUAUUUAUAAGCCAAUUUGUCUGGAAGUAAAUCUCUUUAACACACCCAACUGACUCCAAGAGGUGUGUCCCAUGGGAACCAAUCUUAAAUAACCGUCUCAAGAAAAGUUUUAGCAGCAAUAUUGUCAGUCCUGGAAUUUCCACCUUUGGGGGGGAAAAAAUCAACAAUAGAAUGCUUGGAAAUACAGAAUACACAGAGUUUAGCAAACUGCCAAAUUAAAUUCACACACACACACACAAAUCUGCUAAUACCUAGUUAAAGAGUUGGCAUGGGAAGAAACAGACUUCUCAUUCAAGCCUGAAGCUCGGUAAUGGGUCAUUUGACCUGAAAUAACUUGGGCGGAAGUUGGCCUUAUUGUCUUCCACAAUCUCUUCCCACGCAGUCAAAAAAGGGGAUGCAAUCUUAAGAUUUUUUCUUCCUCAUUCUCUCCCGCCCUUUCUCCUCUCCCUCCCUUUUAUCUUCUCUCUCUCCUUCCUUCCUUCUUUUCUUUCUCUUUCAAUCUUUGGGCAUCAAAAAGGGUAUCCCAGAAAACUUCAAAUGAAGUUUUAGAAGAAGACUGUGUGUUGGUUUCAGUUGUUUUUAGGGUAGGGGCUUGAACAACCUCAUCUCAAAAAUGGAGAUUUUUUUUUAUUACCUCUUUUGGUUGAGAUAUAAUUAAUAUAUAAUAAAGCUAUCUAAUUUACUGAAUUGGUCUGAUUCACAAGUUAAAUAAGGUUAAAUCAAAGAAAACAUGUGUAAGUCCCUCUAGACAGUGUCCAGGGUUGACUGGAUUAUAAACAGACAUAACCAUUGAGGUCACUUUUUAAUUUAAAAACCCUCAAUGGCUCCUGACUUCCUACAGAACAGUCUAAAAAUCUAAGGCUCAAAAAUGUCAGGCUCUCCUUUCUAGUGCUACCUGAUGCCCCCAUCUCUUAUACAUACCAUUUGUCAGAUGCAACCAGAUAAUAGAAAUUUCCAGUCUCUCAGCUUCCUCCUGCUGCCCCAGGUCUGCUUAUCAAGGCCCUGCCCAUCCUUCAAAGUCAGAAGUCAUCUCCUCCAUGGAGUCCUCCAGGUCAGUACCGCUGGUAUUCAUUUCCUUGCCUAUGGCCUACCUCAUUACAUUGUAUUGCUGCUAAGGUAUUUGACACAUUGUUUCAUAUUAACUACUUCCUGUGACGAGCACCCUUCUUUCGUGUAAUUUUGAUAAACAUUCAUUGAGCAUCUAUAAUAUGUGGGCAGAGAGCCAGGCAUGGGGAGGAGCUCGGCAGAGGUACAGAGAUGAGUGACGUGGUGUUUACUCUGGAAGAGCUCAGGGCCUGGUGGGGAGCGUUGAAGUGGCAAGUCCCACCACGCACGAUCCAUCUCCAGCAGUGUCUACGGUUUCCAUGCACACCAGAUAUAGAUGCUAAUACAAAUGAAGCCGUGCUAAAG